GAGGGCAGACCCUCAGACGGGGAAGGAGAGGGUCUGCGGAGCGCACUGCAGGGAUGUGAUCACAGGGCAGGAAUUUGAUGUCAGAGCCAAAUGUGUUAUCAAUGCCACGGGACCUUUUACGGACGCGCUGUGGAAAAUGGAUGAUCAGAAGAACCCCGACAUCUGUCAGCCCAGUGCCGGGGUGCACAUCGUCAUCCCGGCUAUUACAGCCGUUCGCCCUCUCAUGCACACAACACUCAUGCACCUCCAGACUUGACAGCAUAAAACUCCAAGACGCCGUCGCAUCAUCUCCUAUCUGACCUGGGGAGCGGAUGCCCGAACACACCAUCGCAUAGCAAGUCAUCUCUGGAGAGGAUAUCAGUGUCUGAAUUACAUCCUCAACUAACUCGGCAACCACAACCAGGAAAUGGAAGAUGGCACAACAUCUGGCUUCCACCUACAGACGCAGGAUCUACAAAGUGGUCAGGUGGGCUGAUGGAUACCAGGAAAUUAGGGAGAGUCCUGUCUUCAUCCUGACCGAAGCGAGAGUGAAAUAAAUUUUGUCCAAGCUAGCAUCCUGUGUUGGACAGCUACUUGAAGCUGUGUGCCAUGAGACAAGCUCAGACGGAUGGAUUUCAGCACUAAUCCGUUUGAUGUAAGUGAAUUUAGGUUCUAAUUCAUGGGCUUGUGCACUGUAUAACAAGCCAGAAUCAGCAACACACGGUCCAUAAAUUCAAGAGGAGAG